rnacentral:rRNA from 1 species
UACCAGCUCUCCGAGUGGUAGGGAUGAUUAUUGGGCUUAAAGCGUCCGUAGCCGGCUUAGCAAGUCUCCUGUUAAAUUCAGCGACCUAAUCGUUGAGCCGCGGGAAAUACUACUAGGCUAGGAGGCGGGAGAGGUCGACGGUACUUCUGGGGUAGGGGUGAAAUCCUAUAAUCCCGGGAGGACCACCAGUGGCGAAGGCUGUCGACUAGAACGCGCUCGACGGUGAGGGACGAAAGCUGGGGGAGCGAACCGGAUUAGAUACCCGGGUAGUCCCAGCUGUAAACGAUGCGGGCUAGGUGUUGGGGUGGCUACGGGCCACUUCAGUGCCGCAGGAAGCCAUUAAGCCCGCCGCCUGGGGAGUACGGCCGCAAGGCUGAACUUAAAGGAAUUGGCGGGGGAGCACCACAAGGCGUGAAGCUUGCGGUUC